UACGAGGGGGGCAAGCGUUGUUCGGAAUUAUUGGGCGUAAAGGGCGCGUAGGCGGUGCGGUAAGUCACCUGUGAAACCUCUAGGCUUAACCUAGAGCCUGCAGGCGAAACUGCCGUGCUUGAGGGUGGGAGAGGUGCGUGGAAUUCCCGGUGUAGCGGUGAAAUGCGUAGAUAUCAGGAGGAACACCGGUGGCGAAGGCGUCCAUCUGGCCCGAUACUGACGCUGAGGCGCGAAAGCGUGGGGAGCGAACAGG
rnacentral:rRNA from 1 species